rnacentral:rRNA from 1 species
UGCAGUCGAGCGGUAGAGAGAAGCUUGCUUCUUUUGAGAGCGGCGGACGGGUGAGUAAUGCCUAGGAAUCUGCCUGGUAGUGGGGGAUAACGUUCGGAAACGGACGCUAAUACCGCAUACGUCCUACGGGAGAAAGCAGGGGACCUUCGGGCCUUGCGCUAUCAGAUGAGCCUAGGUCGGAUUAGCUAGUUGGUGAGGUAAUGGCUCACCAAGGCUACGAUCCGUAACUGGUCUGAGAGGAUGAUCAGUCACACUGGAACUGAGACACGGUCCAGACUCCUACGGGAGGCAGCAGUGGGGAAUAUUGGACAAUGGGCGAAAGCCUGAUCCAGCCAUGCCGCGUGUGUGAAGAAGGUCUUCGGAUUGUAAAGCACUUUAAGUUGGGAGGAAGGGCAGUUACCUAAUACGUGAUUGUUUUGACGUUACCGACAGAAUAAGCACCGGCUAACUCUGUGCCAGCAGCCGCGGUAAU